GAUAAACGCUGGCGGCGUGCCUAAUACAUGCAAGUCGAGCGAACAGACGAGGAGCUUGCUCCUCUGACGUUAGCGGCGGACGGGUGAGUAACACGUGGAUAACCUACCUAUAAGACUGGGAUAACUUCGGGAAACCGGAGCUAAUACCGGAUAAUAUAUUGAACCGCAUGGUUCAAUAGUGAAAGACGGUUUUGCUGUCACUUAUAGAUGGAUCCGCGCCGCAUUGGCUAGUUGGUAAGGUAACGGCUUACCAAGGCAACGAUGCGUAGCCGACCUGAGAGGGUGAUCGGCCACACUGGAACUAAGACACGGUCCAGACUCCUACGGGAGGCAGCAGUAGGGAAUCUUCCGCAAUGGGCGAAAGCCUGACGGAGCAACGCCGCGUGAGUGAUGAAGGUCUUCGGAUCGUAAAACUCUGUUAUUAGGGAAGAACAAAUGUGUAAGUAACUAUGCACGUCUUGACGGUACCUAAUCAGAAAGCCACGGCUAACUACGUGCCAGCAGCCGCGGUAA
rnacentral:rRNA from 1 species